rnacentral:rRNA from 1 species
AGAGUUUGAUCCUGGCUCAGAUUGAACGCUGGCGGCAGGCCUAACACAUGCAAGUCGAGCGGUAGCACAGGGGAGCUUGCUCCCUGGGUGACGAGCGGCGGACGGGUGAGUAAUGUCUGGGAAACUGCCUGAUGGAGGGGGAUAACUACUGGAAACGGUAGCUAAUACCGCAUAACCUCGCAAGAGCAAAGAGGGGGACCUUCGGGCCUCUCGCCAUCAGAUGUGCCCAGAUGGGAUUAGCUAGUAGGUGAGGUAAUGGCUCACCUAGGCGACGAUCCCUAGCUGGUCUGAGAGGAUGACCAGCCACACUGGAACUGAGACACGGUCCAGACUCCUACGGGAGGCAGCAGUGGGGAAUAUUGCACAAUGGGCGCAAGCCUGAUGCAGCCAUGCCGCGUGUGUGAAGAAGGCCUUCGGGUUGUAAAGCACUUUCAGCGGGGAGGAAGGCGGUGAGGUUAAUAACCUCAUCGAUUGACGUUACCCGCAGAAGAAGCACCGGCUAACUCCGUGCCAGCAGCCGCGGUAAUACGGAGGGUGCAAGCGUUAAUCGGAAUGACUGGGCGUAAAGCGCACGCAGGCGGUCUGUUAAGUUGGAUGUGAAAUCCCCGGGCUUAACCUGGGAACUGCAUUCAAAACUGACAGGCUAGAGUCUUGUAGAGGGGGGUAGAAUUCCAGGUGUAGCGGUGAAAUGCGUAGAGAUCUGGAGGAAUACCGGUGGCGAAGGCGGCCCCCUGGACAAAGACUGACGCUCAGGUGCGAAAGCGUGGGGAGCAAACAGGAUUAGAUACCCUGGUAGUCCACGCUGUAAACGAUGUCGAUUUGGAGGUUGUGCCCUUGAGGCGUGGCUUCCGGAGCUAACGCGUUAAAUCGACCGCCUGGGGAGUACGGCCGCAAGGUUAAAACUCAAAUGAAUUGACGGGGGCCCGCACAAGCGGUGGAGCAUGUGGUUUAAUUCGAUGCAACGCGAAGAACCUUACCUACUCUUGACAUCCAGAGAACUUAGCAGAGAUGCUUUGGUGCCUUCGGGAACUCUGAGACAGGUGCUGCAUGGCUGUCGUCAGCUCGUGUUGUGAAAUGUUGGGUUAAGUCCCGCAACGAGCGCAACCCUUAUCCUUUGUUGCCAGCGAUUCGGUCGGGAACUCAAAGGAGACUGCCGGUGAUAAACCGGAGGAAGGUGGGGAUGACGUCAAGUCAUCAUGGCCCUUACGAGUAGGGCUACACACGUGCUACAAUGGCGUAUACAAAGAGAAGCGACCUCGCGAGAGCAAGCGGACCUCAUAAAGUACGUCGUAGUCCGGAUUGGAGUCUGCAACUCGACUCCAUGAAGUCGGAAUCGCUAGUAAUCGUAGAUCAGAAUGCUACGGUGAAUACGUUCCCGGGCCUUGUACACACCGCCCGUCACACCAUGGGAGUGGGUUGCAAAAGAAGUAGGUAGCUUAACCUUCGGGAGGGCGCUUACCACUUUGUGAUUCAUGACUGGGGUGAAGUCGUAACAAGGUAACCGUAGGGGAACCUGCGGUUGGAUCACCU